UGGAAUGCCUUCGGACGCGGGUUCGAUUCCCGCCGCCUCCACCA
rnacentral:tmRNA from 1 species